UGAACGCUGGCGGCAUGCCUUACACAUGCAAGUCGAACGGCAGCACGGGUGCUUGCACCUGGUGGCGAGUGGCGAACGGGUGAGUAAUACAUCGGAACAUGUCCUGUAGUGGGGGAUAGCCCGGCGAAAGCCGGAUUAAUACCGCAUACGAUCUACGGAUGAAAGCGGGGGACCUUCGGGCCUCGCGCUAUAGGGUUGGCCGAUGGCUGAUUAGCUAGUUGGUGGGGUAAAGGCCUACCAAGGCGACGAUCAGUAGCUGGUCUGAGAGGACGACCAGCCACACUGGGACUGAGACACGGCCCAGACUCCUACGGGAGGCAGCAGUGGGGAAUUUUGGACAAUGGGCGAAAGCCUGAUCCAGCAAUGCCGCGUGUGUGAAGAAGGCCUUCGGGUUGUAAAGCACUUUUGUCCGGAAAGAAAUCCUUGGCUCUAAUACAGUCGGGGGAUGACGGUACCGGAAGAAUAAGCACCGGCUAACUACGUGCCAGCAGCCGCGGUAAUACGUAGGGUGCGAGCGUUAAUCGGAAUUACUGGGCGUAAAGCGUGCGCAGGCGGUUUGCUAAGACCGAUGUGAAAUCCCCGGGCUCAACCUGGGAACUGCAUUGGUGACUGGCAGGCUAGAGUAUGGCAGAGGGGGGUAGAAUUCCACGUGUAGCAGUGAAAUGCGUAGAGAUGUGGAGGAAUACCGAUGGCGAAGGCAGCCCCCUGGGCCAAUACUGACGCUCAUGCACGAAAGCGUGGGGAGCAAACAGGAUUAGAUACCCUGGUAGUCCACGCCCUAAACGAUGUCAACUAGUUGUUGGGGAUUCAUUUCCUUAGUAACGUAGCUAACGCGUGAAGUUGACCGCCUGGGGAGUACGGUCGCAAGAUUAAAACUCAAAGGAAUUGACGGGGACCCGCACAAGCGGUGGAUGAUGUGGAUUAAUUCGAUGCAACGCGAAAAACCUUACCUACCCUUGACAUGGUCGGAAUCCCGCUGAGAGGUGGGAGUGCUCGAAAGAGAACCGGCGCACAGGUGCUGCAUGGCUGUCGUCAGCUCGUGUCGUGAGAUGUUGGGUUAAGUCCCGCAACGAGCGCAACCCUUGUCCUUAGUUGCUACGCAAGAGCACUCUAAGGAGACUGCCGGUGACAAACCGGAGGAAGGUGGGGAUGACGUCAAGUCCUCAUGGCCCUUAUGGGUAGGGCUUCACACGUCAUACAAUGGUCGGAACAGAGGGUUGCCAACCCGCGAGGGGGAGCUAAUCCCAGAAAACCGAUCGUAGUCCGGAUUGCACUCUGCAACUCGAGUGCAUGAAGCUGGAAUCGCUAGUAAUCGCGGAUCAGCAUGCCGCGGUGAGUACGUUCCCGGGUCUUGUACACACCGCCCGUCACACCAUGGGAGUGGGUUUUACCAGAAGUGGCUAGUCUAACCGCAAGGAGGACGGUCACCACGGUAGGAUUCAUGACUGGGGU
rnacentral:rRNA from 1 species